GGGUUAUUUACCACUGGGCCACCUGGGAAGCCUUAAUCUACAAGCUGAUAGAGCUAAAGGAUACUAGGAAAAAUUUAUCUGAAACAAUCAACUGUGAACAAUCAACCAGCUAAAUGAACGAAGUUCAAAGAAGAAAUCUUCAGGUCUUUCAGCUUGUCCUUUGAUACGAAACUUGAGAUGGUCUCCUGGCUUCAGAAUGAAGAGACCCACGCCCUUGGUUCUGUCGCCCAGGAAGUAGAUCAGAGGAACGGUGAUAGCAGGAUGCCCCUAAUGUGAAGAGAGAACAGAGGAGGAGCAUUUAUCUACGGUUGGUCCUGGUUUUCGGGAACACAUCAGGGAAGAGGUAGAAUUCCAAAGCAUUUCAAAGGAAGAAUUGGAUGCCUUGAGGUCACCGUGCUCUGAAUUCCCAGCUGUCACCAAGGAAAAGAGACUUCCCCUUUUCUCUCUGUUGGCCUUCCUAUGGAUGUGGACAGAUGACCCAGGCUGGACAGCAAGCAUUCUCCAUCUCCUGAGCAAGAAAGAAAACUGCGGUGCAAUAAACAGAAGACAAUGGACCCAACGACCCGGGCUACCAGACGCCAGCAUAUGACUGUGUUCAAAACAAUGCAAGAGGAAGAAGAAUACAAGAUGCUUACAACUUUGUCCCUUAUCACCCGCCUCUGACUGUGUGCCCUCCUCUAUAAGAUCCUCCAGAUUCCUCAUGGAAGGCGGGGCACAGACCUAGAGGCAUGAACCUACUGUGUCUUUCCUCCACUGGCUGAAGAUUAAAGCCACUUUUCUAUUUCCUCCCAACUCUGUCUCCAUAAUUUUGUUAUUUGACUUCAGUGGGCAGAGAAAGCCAAGAUUUUGGUGAUAACGACUUCACUGGCUGAACGACCACUGGGUUACCUUUCUGGCUGAUGCCCAGCCACCAUGUACCCUGGUAUUUGUGGUCCUGACACCCCUUCUCCAUGCAGCCCCCUUCCCAUUCCUGCCAGCUUUGAGGUUUCCUCUUUGACCUCCUAGAUGAUGAAACAACUUGACGGGCUGCAUCCACAAAGCUCCUGCUCGGUUUGGUGUCUCCAUUGACUCCAGGUUUAUUUUUGAGGUUUACAGUUUUGUCAAAUGUGUUUCCCAUGAGCCACCUCAUAUCUCUGGUAGCACAAGGCAGGAUCUAAACAGAUACGGUCCUUGGGAGCAUCAGAGCUAGGGCAGAAGUAAGGGUGAGGUGCAGAACCAUAAUCUUUCCCUUUCCUUCUCUCUACUUCCAAGUCAGAGUAAACAGAGCUUCAUAUUGCCUGCUGCGUUGUAGGUGCUCAAUACACACUCAUUUGAACAGCUACCAAGGGCAGAGGGCUUUUACUCCUCACCACCAAUGACCAGGCCCAGAUCCAGGUCUCAUGAAGCCUGAGGCUUACUCAGUUUGCCUGGCCCUCUUGGGAAAAGAAUACAAAUUCUUAUUUUGGCAAUUUUCAAAAAGACAGAUAGCAGGAGGAGUGCCUUGAAAUAGACUCCUGUAAGAGAGAGACGUGAGGCAGAAACAUCUUACCUUCCUGGUAAAUCCUCCUCUGCUCAUACCCAUGUCAUUUCACAGAAGAGAGUCAGGGAAGGAGAAGGGUCAGCCUUCAUGAAGUCUUUUUUUUUUUUU